CGAAAGCCUGACGGAGCAAUACCGCGUGAGGGAGGAAGGUUCUUGGAUUGUAAACCUCUUUUCUAGGGGAAUAAAAAAAUGAAGGUACCCUAGGAAUAAGCAUCGGCUAACUCCGUGCCAGCAGCCGCGGUAAUACGGAGGAUGCAAGCGUUAUCCGGAAUUAUUGGGCGUAAAGAGUCCGUAGGUGGAAGUUCAAGUCUGUCGUUAAAGAAUGGAGCUUAACUCCAUAGAGGCGGUGGAAACUGAGCAACUAGAGUGCGGUAGGGGUAACGGGAAUUCCCAGUGUAGCGGUGAAAUGCGUAGAUAUUGGGAAGAACAUCGGUGGCGAAAGCGCGUUACUGGGCCGAAACUGACACUGAGGGACGAAAGCUAGGGUAGCGAC
rnacentral:rRNA from 1 species